CCUGGUGAGAAAAUCCAAUCUGUUCUUCCGAAACGAGCUCUGUCACAGUCUCUGCCAGUUCUGCUGCAGCUCCUCCUGGCAGUAAUUAGAUCAUUUGUCUCAUCUGGAGAGCUCAGCCUGCUGCACUUCACACAGUAGUGCUGAGUCCCAGAGCUCGUGUUUGAACAGAGCUGACCAAGUGUAAACCCGGAAGGGAUGUCAGGAUCCUUGUUCUGGGCUUCCUCCUUAGCCUUAAACGUUUCUAUUCCUUCAUGAACUUUCAGCCUUUACAAAUCUGCAGGGCACAACCAGGAGGGAGUGAAAGGCUGUGAGAAACCGAAUUCAGUUACAAAUGCUGCAGCAAGAAAGUGGGGAACUGCGAAGUUCAAGCGCCUUAAUGAAAUUUCAGAAUCAUGCAGCUGCCUAACACCUCUCCGGCCCUCUUGGAGGCAGACACACUCCUUCUGGAGCCAGCUACACAGAAGGUCUAAUCAAAUGGCUUAAUGGAUUCCCAUGGAGAGAAGGAAGUAGAUUACUGUAGACCACUGGACAGACAUGGCCUUACAGCACUUUCAGCAAUGUGGUGCACAAUAAUCAGAAAAGAACUGUGCUGCAGUUGUCCUGUUAUUUCAGAAACCUUUCUGAAUCCCUCUUUUGAUGACAGGCUAAUGAUAUGUGAACAGAGAGCUGAGAACAUCACGUGCUGCAGUAUACAGAAAGAUACUGCCCAACCCUCAAGCUUCGUUUUGUCCCUUUUCUCAAAAACAGACACAUGAUUCCCCUUUACCAUUUCUUUGUUUUCAAGCUACCAAAUUAACACAAAUUUAUUUUUAAGGCAAUUUUCCCUUCCAUUCAUAAUAACUCAGUGGGAACAUUAUCAACACCCAGUGCUUUAUUGUUCCUGGGUGUUCUGGUCAGCUCUUCGUUCUUCUAGAAAUGGCUCAGCUGUCUGGAAAAUGCUUUACUGGAUAAAAUACUCCCUCCAUCUUUCUGUAAUUACAUUAUUUUAACUAAGUCUUCCAUUUUUGUCCCUUAUCUGACCUAUGCACUGUUCUCGUCCUUGUCUUAAAUGCUGAUAUCCCAGGAAAAUGGUCUGAAGCUAUCUUAUAAUGCUGCCACUUCUACUGCACAGAGCCCUUUUUGUGCUGUACUAUCUUGCUGCUGAAUCCUUUGCAUUACCAAAGGACUUAGGGAAGUCACAAAAAUCAUCACCACACAUUGCUUUCUUACAGUCCCCAUCAAAAACUUUUUGUUUGUUUUCUUAGUUUUAUAUUUUUCUUCAUUUUAUUUUUAUUUUUUCUCCUACUCUUUUUUUGACCCCAAGUGUUUUCAAGCUGGUAUCAAAUUGUUCCACAAUGAUCAAGUGCGUUCCCAUCCGUACACUUGGUAUCCUCUGACAAGUUCACAUGGUAGGAGUUCUAAAUGCGGAUAUAAAAUAUCCACCUCUUUCAGUGCUGCUGCAUUUCUUCCCUUGCUAUUUUACAUAUUUUAACCCUGUCUGCACAACGAUGCCAAGAGUUUUUCACACAUUCCACCAGCUCUGCCAGCAUUUAUGGGCACUCAGAAACUAAGGAUAUGGCAUAAUUCCCACUCUGAAUCACAAAACACCAUGAGCUUCCUUACAGAAUUUUAUUAUAAAAUAUACAAAACAACGUGUUUCUUCAUACUUCUUGAAGAGUGAUGAAAGUAAUAACCACGAAGUACACAACUUUGAAAAUUUCAGCCCAAGUCAAACAAUUUUAGUAAAAAAAAUUCUCUAGAUUAUAAACUUUCUUA
ensembl:lncRNA